AUACGUAGGGGGCAAGCGUUGUCCGGAAUUAUUGGGCGUAAAGCGCGCGCAGGCGGUUCUUUAAGUCUGGUGUUUAAGUGCGGGGCUCAACCCCCGUGACGCACUGGAAACUGGGGGACUUGAGUGCAGAAGAGGAGAGCGGAAUUCCACGUGUAGCGGUGAAAUGCGUAGAGAUGUGGAGGAACACCAGUGGCGAAGGCGGCUCUCUGGCCUGUAACUGACGCUGAGGCGCGAAAGCGUGGGGAGCAAACAGGAUUAGAUACCCUGGUAGUCCACGCCGUAAACGAUGAGUGCUAGGUGUCGGAGGGGUCCACCCUGCGGUGCCGAAGUCAACACAUUAAGCACUCCGCCUGGGGAGUACGGUCGCAAGACUGAA
rnacentral:rRNA from 1 species